CCAACAGCGCCUCUGAGGCUGGACACAGGCCGAGAGUUGGAAGAAUGGGGUGGAGAUGUGGGGGCUGUGAGGGGCUGUGAGGGGCUGGGACACCGGAACAGCUUUGAGGAACAAGGCCACUCGCCACUGGAACCUGUGGAAAAAGGAGAAGGGGCGCGUUUGCCUGCGGAGGCCCCUGAGCUCCCGGAGCUCUUGCGCAUUAUGUUGUCUGCUGACAACUCCACCCAGACAAACCCCCAAUCCAGGUGAGGGCGAAGAGACACCUCCCCCCCCAGGCCAGGCAGAGAGACUGUCCCCCGGCACAGGGCCACCUUAACUGGGCAGCCCUGUGGGCGGGGCGCAUUGUUGAUGCCUGUGCAGACAGCAGUCCAGGCCCGAGUGUGGGACAGACUUGCAGGCAGCACUCCAAGCUUCCAGCCUGCGACCCAGCUCCUCACGCUGAGUCUGCAGCCCGGCACCAUGGUCCAGGGGGCCUUGGAGCCUGACGGCCCCGGCUGGGGCUGGGAUGGGGAGGAUGACCGGGACAGCGCUGUCCUCACCCUGCUGGCGCUGGCUGUGGUGGCCGCCACGGCACUGGCUUUGCACUGGUUUGGCUCUGGGCAGGACCAGGAGGCGGCAGGACCUGCACCCACGACCCCCGGGGCCCAGCCUUCUCAGGCUGGAGGAGCCAGCCGAGCCCUGCCCCUGCAGCCCAAGGUCAGUGGUGGUGUCGAGGGACACAGCUCAGGGCAGGGGCAGCCAGACCCUCCAGGACGUGGCCAGGGGAGUCCAGCUGCGGCAGGGGCCCAAGAUCAGGAGCUCCGGGGAGGUGGUCUGGCUGCCACGGCGGCACCUGCACGCGAGACACCCGGCGAGGCGGCCAGUGGAGGGGCCUUGGGACGGCAGCACGACAGUGCCACUGCGGAAGCCCUGCGAGGUAAAGGAAGGGAGCCUCUCAGGCCAGAUACUGCCUUCCCGGGUCGGAGCAAAGUAGGGGGGACAUCCGGCCCCCUCCUGAUACACUUCACCCCUCGGAGUCCUGGCAGAGAGACUGAAGGGCAAGUGGAGGCAGGAGGUGUUCAAGCCAAGGUGCCAGCUCACCAGGCCCUGGUCCACACAGCAGAACAGGACGCCAGCCCCUGGCAACAAGGUGUAGGGCCACCUGGCUCGCUAGAGAGGGGUCGAAGAAGCCGGCGGUGGCAGGUGGACCAAGGCUCAGAAGAUAGACACCGCCGCCUCCCAAAGCCGGACCCCCUCCGCCUGGGCUCUGUGGUGAGUGUGUGGGAUGCUGUGGAUGCAGCCAGCAGCCUCUCCACAGGCUCCCAGAGGCCUCCUCUCCCCUUGGAGCUGCCUCCACCACGUGCCACGCAGGCUGGGCCCUUGACAGAGGGCACAGUGAAGGGGCACGGGGAGAGCAGCCUCCGUCCAGCCUCAGUCCUAGCUCUGGAGAGCAGGGAGGCUGGGCCCCAGGCUCCCAGGGAGUCUCAGGGACCCCCGGCCUCCGUGGAAGGCUGGCCGUGGGAGAGGAGCUUCGUCCAGACCCCAGACUCCAUGGGCCCACGGCCAGAGGGGUCGCAAGGCAGACAUCCACUCUUGUCUCAAGGACGGGGGACCGCAGACGCCAGCAAUGCGGCAAAGGCUGGGGCUCAAGGCUCUGGAGACCGCUCUUUCUUCAGCUCAGGGCCGGGCGGGGCAGAGCAGCAACGGGACCAUGGCCUCCUAGAAGGGAGACCAUCUUGGCAAGGCCAGCGCGGGCAGAGCAGCGGGCAGGAGGCAGGCAGUCUGGACACAGGGAGGCGCCCCCCAGACCCCCCCGGCUCAGCCACGCUCUCCCCGCGCAUCCCUAAGCCCCUCCCGCCCUUGGCUUCCCCGCCCACAGCACAUCCCCACGGAGGUCUCUUACCUGCAGGCUCAACCCUUCCGACCUCCUCUCCUUCAGACUCUUUGUCCCUCGGAGUUAGUCAGGGUUCUGCCGAGGAUGAAACUCUCAGGGCAGUGUCAGCCCCAGCCCCAGCCCCAGCCCCAGCCCCUGCCCCUGCCCCUGCCCCUGCUCCAACUCCGUCCUCCUCCCCAGCCCCUGCCCCAGCCCCAGCCCCAGCCCC
rnacentral:lncRNA from 1 species